rnacentral:rRNA from 1 species
AUUUAUUACACUUUUGCUUGUUAAGCAGUGCACGAAACAAUGCGAGCUAAAUAGAUAACUCUUUAUAGGAUUUGGCAGGCUGUGUUGCAAAACAGCGCCAUUAUGUUUAUUUAGUAGUGAAAGGCUAAUCAUGUAUUGAGAUAUCUUGUUGCGUAAUUUAAAUAUUAAGUAUUGCCUAGUCAAACUAAUAAAGCCAAGUUUCUUAGUAUGCAUCUCGAAAAAUUCGCUAGCACAUCAAAGUUUAACCACUAGUAAAUGAAAAUAAUAAAUAUUAAUUAUUUUAUAUAAUGUUAUUCCUUAUGCCUAAUAAACCUAUAUAAAAGUUUACAAUGUAAAUAUGAGUAUUAAAUCAUAUCUUCUUAAGGAACUCGGCAAAUAGUUGCUCGACUGUUUAUCAAAAACAUAAUUAUAUGUUAUUAUAUAUAACUAUUUCUGCUCAAUGGAUAUACUAAAUAGCCGCAGUACCUUGACUGUGCAAAGGUAGCAUAAUCAGUUGACUUAUAAUUGAAGUCUGGCAUGAACGAAUUUACGGGUAACGACUGUCUUGGGAAGAAAUUAGAGAAUUUAAUUAUCAAGUGCAAAUGCUUGGUGAUUUAAAAUAGACGAGAAGACCCUAGAAACUUUAAAAUUUUGUUGGGGCGGCAGAAUUACACGGAACUUAUUUUAAUAUUACGUGAAGCGAAGAAGAAAGAUUAAGUUACUCUAGGGAUAACAGCAUAAUUUAUAAUAGUUUGUGACCUCGAUGUUGGACUAGGUAAUAUAGUUUUUAGAAGAAACUAUUGGUUGCUCUGUUCGAGCAGUUUUACCUACAUGAUCUGAGUUCAGACCGG